UCCGCCACUCAGAAUCAGCCCAUCGUACUCAGGGUUACACGAAAUUGCCCACGUCCAGUGUGCAUGUCCAGGGAGCUCUUUGAUAGGAACCUUUGGCAUUCUAAGGUCCCAUACAUGUAUUCCAGAUUCAUCCUCUGCAGUAACAAGUAUGUGCUUCUUCUUGGUGUCAUAGUCAACAUUGCGGACAUGGGUACAGUCAAUUGAAUUUGUCUUGUUCAUUGUUCGUAGAUCCCAAAACUGGACUGAGGAUUCACAAGUUGCUGCAACAGCAUUCACAUCAUGCGGGUCCCAGGCUCCACCAGAUAAAUAAUGCAACAUACCAGCUGACUCCUUAGAUUGCACCUGGGCUGCUUUUUUAGAACAAUCUAAACUCCAUAAGAAAAGAUUUUCCUCAUCAAUGCUGAUCAGCUUAUCAUUUCUCCCAGAUGGCCACCACAAAAUGCAAUUAAUCUUGCCAGAGUGUGCAUCAAGAGAUGCAAUUUUUUCUAAUUGAGGUGAAUUUAGCUGGCCAUAUAACUCAGGAAUCUGCCAUACAGCUGCUCCAUAUGAUUCACCAGUGGAGAAGACAGUGGAGAAGAUGCGUUGAUCAAAGGGACACGAAGAGAGGUCCCAGAUCUCAUUAGGAUGCGAAAACAAGCCCUCGCAUAUGAGUUCAGUUCCACCAGAAGAAAGCCGAAUCAAAUGCACCUCAUUUUCCUCUCUAAGGCUGAGAGUGCCGGUGAUGAAGCUGGUGUGAUCGAUAUCUGCUUUCACAUCUGAUAUGCAUCUAGCCUGAUAUUUGAGACCAUAUCCUACGCCUGAAGAUGCUCCUUGCAUUUUCGUGAGCAGUAGGCUGUCGACACCACUACCAAAAAAAGUAUCAAAACUAGCUAACUCUCCAUGGUAACGCUACCAGCAACGACUUAUGCUUUUCUU
rnacentral:misc_RNA from 1 species